GAGAGAGAUAGAGAGGGAGAGAGAAACAUCGAUGUGAGAGAGAAACAUCCGUCAGGUGCUUCCCAUACAUGCUCUG